rnacentral:rRNA from 1 species
UACGGGGGGGGCAAGCGUUGUUCGGAAUUACUGGGCGUAAAGGGUUCGUAGGUGGCCAACUAAGUCAGACGUGAAAUCCCUCAGCUUAACUGGGGAACUGCGUCUGAUACUGGUUGGCUUGAGUGCAGGAGAGGAACACGGAAUUCCAGGUGUAGCGGUGAAAUGCGUAGAUAUCUGGAGGAACACCGGUGGCGAAGGCGGCGUUCUGGACUGCAACUGACACUGAGGAACGAAAGCCAGGGGAGCAAACGGG